rnacentral:rRNA from 1 species
GGACUACCGGGGUAUCUAAUCCCGUUCGCUCCCCUAGCUUUCGCCCAUGAGCGUCAGUAACUCCCCAGGACACUGCCUUCGCCUUUGGUAUUCCUCCGGAUAUCUACGCAUUUCACCACUCCACCCGGAAUUCUGUGUCCCUCUGAAGUCCUCCAGUGCUGCCGUCUUCGAGGCGCUCUCCCAGUUGAGCCAGGAGCUGUAACCCCGAACUGACCGCACCGCCUGCGGGCCCUUUACGCCCAAUAAAUCCGGACAACGCUUGCCCCCUACGUAUUACCGCGGCUGCUGGCAC